CUCUGGGUUUGCAAGAGUUCACAAUUGCUGUCAUCCAGGGUUAGGGCGUGAUAAGCAAGCAGCUAGCCCCAGCCGUUCACAGUAACCUUCCCCUGAUAAGUUGCUGCUGAAGUACACUUAGCCUCAUGAUAUUUAUUGAAACAAACACCUUGGGUGCAGCUAUGUGUAGAUUUUUGGCAUUUGCAGGAGUCAUGGUAAUCUUCGGGAUAUGGAUUCCAAAUUUCACCUGAAUACAGCUGCAUAGCAGUGCAAGCAGUUAAUGCCCAGCCACAACAUUUCUGCUGUGUACUGCCACUGCUGCUGCACAACGGGAGCUCCCAGGCUUUCCUGAAGGAAGAUGGCUUUCUGGACGCAGCUGGGAUUGCUGCUAUGGAAGAACUUCACCUACAGAAGAAGACAGACAUUCCAGCUGCUGAUCGAAGUUGCCUGGCCUCUGUUUAUCUUCUUCAUCCUGAUCUCUGUAAGACUUUCAUAUCCGCCCUACGAGCAGCAUGAAUGUAAGUACCAAAAACACAGCAGCUGCACCCAGAAUGGUUGUUGUUUCAUGGUUAGAAGGUAAUAAUACAGCUGGCAAGACACAGAGAGCAGGGGCAGUCGUGGCGUACUUCAGUGAGAAAUCUUCGGGGAAGUUUUAAUGGCUCCUUUCCUUCCACCCUGGGGACUGCAGUGUGUUCUGACAUGUUAGUGUUGCUCCAAGUCUGUACACUGCUGCUGUUGUUCUUGCCGU